CCCUGUCGCACCAGACCAAGAAUUGGCUCUGAUUUUCUGGGUCAGUGGUAUUCUCUGUGUUCUGUAGAGUAUGUUGUGUUGUUGUGGGUUCGGAUCCCAGGUCUGUUGUGGCAGGAUGACCUGUGAUAUACACCACAUUAGUUUAUGUUACUGUAGUACCUUAACCACCAUGUAAAGCACUGAACAGUUGUCUGGCUAGCUUUAUAUGUCACAAACAUGAACAUCUCAUCAACAAUUCCAUGAUCAGCUUGAUUCACCUGCUAAAUGUUCCUAGCAGCCAACAGUAUUUUUCUUUUUCAUGGUUGCCAAAUUCUGAACUCUCAAGCCAUCUCAGCUGCCAUUCAAUACACAUGCAGUAUUUUCAGCGAAAGGCCAUCCCAACAAUACACUCCCAGCUGGCUGUGAGAGCUAAGCGCUAUAAGUAUGGGGAAACAGAUUACAGCUCUGUUUAUAGUUAAAGUGUUUGUGUUAUUCCCCAUCCUACCAGUCCCCUAUAUCUACCAAGCCACUGACACUAUCAGGUCGCUGCAAUGCAUGUGUUUAUUCCCAGCUCCCUCUCUUUUAUCAAUCUCUCCUCUAAAAUGUUUAAGAGAGAAAAUCAAAACUUCUCCCUUUGAAUUUAAUUAAUUGCUUUUAUCGUUUGAAUUAGGAAUUCAGUAGCAUUCACUAGGCACCAAGGAGGGGUACAGUCCGGAGAGGCAGAGGGAGUGAGGGAUACAGUACGGAGAGGCAGAGGGAGUGAGGGAUACAGUACGGAGAGGCAGAGGGAGUGAGGGGUACAGUCCGGAGAGGCACUGGGGAGGGAGGGGUACAGUACGGAGAGGCAGAGGGAGUGAGGGGUACAGUACAGAGAGGCAGAGGGAGUGAGGGAUACAGUACGGAGAGGCAGAGGGAGUGAGGGGUACAGUACGGAGAGGCAGAGGGAGUGAGGGGUACAGUACGGAGUGGCAGAGGGAGUGAGGGAUACAGUACGGAGAGGCAGAGGGAGUGAGGGGUACAGUACGGAGUGGCAGAGGGAGUGAGGGAUACAGUACAGAGAGGCAGAGGGAGUGAGGGAUACAGUACGGAGAGGCAGAGGGAGUGAGGGGUACAGUACGGAGAGGCAGAGGGAGUGAGGGGUACAGUACGGAGAGGCACUGGGAGUGAGGGGUACAGUAUAGAGAGACACUGGGAGUGAGGGAUACAGUACGGAGAGACACUGGGAGUGAGGGGUACAGUACAGAGAGACACUGGGAGUGAGGGGUACAGUAUAGAGAGGCACUGGGAGUGAGGUGUACAGUACAGAGAGACACUGGGAGUGAGGGGUACAGUACAGAGAGACACUGGGAGUGAGGGGUACGUUACGGAGAGACACUGGGAGUGAGGGGUACAGUACAGAGAAGCACUGGGAGGGAGGGGUACAGUACAGAGAAGCACUGGGAGUGAGGGGUACAUUACGGAUAUGGUGACUGCAGUUUGUGACUCUGGGUUCCUAUUUGUAUGCAGAGAGUCUUGGCAUAUGAAAGUGUCCAGUAUCUUGUGUCCAUAAAAGCCAGAACCAGUCCUGUGGGUGACCAUUAAUGAGAAUCUAUGUACUGGGCCUUAUUAAAUGUUAAUGACACCUGCCUGCCUGCCUGCUGGCCUGGCUGGAUACCUGAAAUGAUCCCUACCAAUCAUCUACACAGGGAAUGUCAAAUUGCCCGGAAUAGAGGCCCAUAUGGAUUCAGAUGGAUAUAGAUUCUCAUAUACAGUAUAAUUAUCAAACUACUGGAUCAGAAUGAUUCUGUACAAGGAGUAACUACUUCGGUAGCAGUUUAUUUAUAGAGUAAUGACCUAUUAAUUACUUGUGUGUUUCUUUGGGAUUCAUUCAGUCAAGCACAACUGGGGACCAUUUGGUACCAGGUAGUUACCAAUUGUGUGGUGUUGUUUGAAGUAUGUACAAGGAAGUACCAUUUGUUACUACAUAAUUUUCUGAUAAAUACUUGUGGAAGCAGUAUUGUAAAAUAUAGUGCUGCAAUCACUGUUUCAGUAGGAUCAUACACUACCGUUCAGAAGUUUAGGGUCACUUAGAAAUGUCCUUGUUUUUGACAGAAAAGCAAUUUUUUUUGUCCAUUAAAAUAGAAUCAAAUUGAUCAGAAAUACAGUGUAGACAUUGAUAAUGUUGUAAAUGACUAUUGUAGCUGGAAACGGCAGAUUUUUUAUGGAAUAUCUACAUAGGCGCAGAGGCCCAUUAUCAGCAACCAUCACUCCUGUGUUCCAGUGGCACGUUGUGUUAGCUAAUCCAAGUUUAUCAUUUUAAAAGGCUAAUUGAUCAUUAGAAAACCCUUCUGCAAUUAUGUUAGCACAGCUGUUGUUCUGAUUGAAGAUGAAAUACAACUGGCCUUCUUUAGACUAGUUGAGUAUCUGGAGCAUCAGCAUUUGUGAGUUCGAUUACAGGCUCAAAAUGGCCAGAAACAACUAACUUGCAACAGGGUGAUCAAAUGAAGAUCCUACAUCUGUAUAAAGUCUCAUUACAGAAUGGUAAUGAGGCGUGUUAUAAAUAAUGGAAGAUGUUACUUUGUACUGUUAUAUGAAAUUCCCUGUAGGUUGGCCAAUUUUAUCACCUCUACUUCCCUUUAUGUAUCUCCAACAGUGAUGAAUAAAACAUUCACCAAUGUCUUUGUCUCUAAAUCCACAGUACAGACUUGUGGUUUGUUGCAAAUAAAUGUAUGCCAGCUUUCUGUAGACAAUUAAAAGAAAAGAGUGUGUUAAUGAAAAGUAGCAUACAGGGAGACUGUGUGGGCUGCCGUUAUAUACUGUGUGCUACUACGAAGAUACCUUAGCAUGGGUGUUUAGCAUGAACAAGCUGACAAUUGCAGUACUCAUGGGUGUGUUAAUUAGUGCACACCGUAGCAACAUGUUUUGCAGUGAAUAUGAGCAUUUCUUAUUGGACAGGUUCAGGUUAGUCCUCACUGUUUUGUCUCGUUUGCUACCGUUUGGUUCAGAGUGAAUAAACCCCUGGUUAUACCUCACAAGGUGUACCUUUGUACAAUAAUUGAAAAGACGGAAUAUGAGUGUGUUUGUUUCCAUGGAAACAUCACAAUCUAUGAGAGGCUCUGGUCCUCAUGCCUCUUCUAUGUUACCUGGUCAGACUGUAUGAUGUAUAUCACGUCAGGCUGUAAACUAGAAGCUAUGAGCUUUUAUUAUCGUGCGUGCGUGCGUGCGUGCGUGCAAGAGGGAGAGAGAGAAAGAGAGCAAGUGCGAGAGAGAGCGAGAAGGUCAUCUUAAGGGAAUCUUCCCCAAAAUCCUUUGAAAAGUCACCAUAUUAUAGUCCAAUUUAAAUGUAGGACUAUUACCAAUGUAGGACAAUUACUAUUACUUGUGAACCACAGCCUUGGAAUCAAAUAGAUUAUAGAUUUUUUUUUAAAUGACCCAAACACAUUUUGAUCAAGUAGACUUUUGAAGAUGCUAUCAUGAUGUUUGUGGUCAACUCAACCUUUUCAAUUGUACAUAACUACAUUAAAACAUGCAGGGAAAAAUCCAAUGGUUGAUCAUUCACAUGCACCUAUCCAUGACAUGGCUUUCUUCCAUUAUGAUCUGGGGAUUUCUCUCUCCACUGGCAGUAGGAUUCUUUUACAUCUUCUGAGUAUUCCUUUGGUCAUGGUCAGCGAACAGGCCUCUGGAUUACUACAUUUCCUCCUCCAUCAUCUCCAAAGGUUUGGGAGGGUGGAGGGUUGUAGAGCAACAUCUGAGAACUUUAUGUAUGUAGAUACGUAUGUCAACCCAAGCCAACCCAAUAGAAGAGGCUCAACAUUCUGCCAUUCAGCAGGUAAGCAUCAGUUCAUGGCAUGGCAGCAGCUUGCUCUUUAGGGUGUGGGAUUCCAUCACCCUAAGUGCUGCGCUCAGGUCAGUUCUGCUUUUUACUCCCAAGUUGUUCAAGACAGAAUCAGACAGGGGAUAAGCUGACCCUAGCUCAGCACUUAGUAGCAACUUGUACCUCUAGCGCUCCCUGGCAUCUGUCACGUUCGUCAUAAUAAUGAUCGGACUAAGGCGCAGCGUGAGUAUCGUUCCACAUAAUUUAUUAGAAAGUGAAACUUUUGAAAAAUACAAAACAAAUAAAGAAUAAACGAACCGUGACUACAAUGCAACUACACAUAAACAAUAUCCCAUAAUCCCCAAGUGAAAAACAAGCUACUUAAGUAUGAUCCCCAAUUAGAGACAACAAUUACCAGCUGCCUCUAAUUGGGAAUCAUACCAAAUUAACCAAACAUAGAAAAACUAAACUAGAACCCCACAUAGAAAAUAAUAACUAGGAAAACCCCCCUGACCUACUCUAACAUAGAAAAUAAGAGCUUUCUAUGGUCAGGACGUGACAGCAUCAAAGUGGAUGGUGAUUGAUGGCUGCGACAGUGUGGGCCAAGAGGUGUAUUUGUAUGGGUUCAAAGUGGUACAUGUAUGACAUUUUUCCUUUUCAAGACUGGGAUGAAAGCAACGUUCUUCGACAUAGGCAACCCAUGUUUUGUGCUUGGCUGGUGGAAUAGGCCUUUAUACUGGUGAAUUGUGGGACAUUUGAAAGAGGACAUUGACGUUGAUUAAUUUGAGACCUUUCCAUUGAAUGAACUUUGGAUGUUAUGACAGGUAUUAUAGGGAGUAAUACAGUAACACUUCUCUCCGAGGCCGCACAGGAUAAAACCAUUGUAGGCAGCACAGGAUCAAACUCUUCUAGGCAACACAAGAUCAAACUAUUCUAGGCAACACAGGAUCAAACUCUUUUAGGCAACACAGGAUCAAACCCUUCUAAGCAACACAGGAUCAAACCCUUCUAGGCAACACAGGAUCAAACUCUUCUAGGCAACACAGGAUCAAACCCUUCUAGGCAACACAGGAUCAAACUAUUCUAGGCAACACAGGAUCAAACCCUUCUAAGCAACACAGGAUCAAACCCUUCUUGGCAACACAGGAUCAAACUCUUCUAGGCAACACAGGAUCAAACUCUUCUAGGCAACACAGGAUCAAACUCUUCUAGGCAACACAGGAUCAAACCCUUCUAAGCAACACAGGAUCAAACCCUUCUUGGCAACAUAGGAUCAAACCCUUCUAGGCAACACAGGAUCAAACUCUUCUAGGCAACACAGGAUCAAACCCUUCUAGGCAACACAGGAUCAAACUAUUCUAGGCAAUACAGGAUCAAACUCUUCUAGGCAACACAGGAUCAAACUCUUCUAGGCAAUACAGGAUCAAACUCUUCUAGGCAACACAGGAUCAAACUCUUCUAGGCAACACAGGAUCAAACUCUUCUAGGCAACACAGGAUCAAACCCUUCUAAGCAACACAGGAUCAAACCCUUCUUGGCAACACAGGAUCAAACCCUUCUAGGCAACACAGGAUCAAACUCUUCUAGGCAACACAGGAUCAAACCCUUCUAGGCAACACAGGAUCAAACUCUUCUAGGCAACACAGGAUCAAACCCUUCUAAGCAACACAGGAUCAAACCCUUCUAGGCAACACAGGAUCAAACUCUUUUAGGCAACACAGGAUCAAACUCUUUUAGGCAACACAGGAUCAAACCCUUCUAGGCAACACAGGAUCAAACUCUUCUAGGCAACAUAGGAUCAAACCCUUCUAGGCAACACAGGAUCAAACCCUUCUAGGCAACACAGGAUCAAACUCGUUCAGGCAGCACACUUUUCCAAGCAGCAAAGUAUUCCUUAGAGUGAGACUAAAUGGUGUAGACGGCCCCAGUACCAAUACUGAUCAAGAUGAGAUCAAUGUUAUUACUUGAAAUGCUAAUUUCUUGAAAGCAUGAUUGGGUUUGAAUGUAUCUCAGUAAAAUGUCUUCAUAAUAAUACUAACACUGCCAGAUGCCAAUACUGUCAGAGAAUACAUUUCAGAAAAAAGUAGCCGCAUGUAUUGUAUGCAAAAGCUCUUUUCAGAACUCUCCUCCAGGUAUUGCACUCAGACUCGAGGGUUUACAGCCAGCCAUCCUAUAUGUUCCUAUUGUAGCACUGUUUCUCUUACUCUAAACAGCAUCUAUUUCCUAAAUGGUUCAGGGUGAUGGCACUGCGUCACAGACCUUAUCUAUUGAUACAUAGAGCAAUACAUUCUGCCGCUGCCAAUGUGUCACCCAGCAGCUGUAAUCUCUGGCAAGAUUCCAUUAGAGAGCCUGACCAACAUUCAUUGAAACCAACGUCGCCUAAGGGGCAUUGUGAAAGCUGUCUUCUCCAUCCUUUAUAUCAACCUCCACCUGUCAAUAAGCCUUGGUCACUAGAUCAAGGUCCACAUGUAGCUGCCUCCUUCCAGAUAGUACAGAUUGGCUCCAGUACGACAUUAGAGUUUACAAGAUACCAUGGCUGUGUCCGAAAUGGCACCCAAUCCCUAUAUAAUGCACUACUUUUGACCAGGGUCCAUAGGGCUAUUGUCAAAAGUAGUGCACUAUGUAGGGUAGUGGUUCCCAACUCCAGUCCUCCAGUACCCCCAACAGCACACAUUUUUGUUGUAGCCCGGAUAAAAAACACCUGAUUCAACUCAUUGAGGGACUGAUGAUUAGUUGAAAAGAUUAAUCUGGUGUGCUUGUCAGACUACAAUAAAAAUGUGUACUAUUGAGUGCAGGCCCGACACCAUGAGGGGGCUAAAGUUCAAACUUUAUCUUGCACAGUUUUAGGUCCCUAUAUUAAAAUAGCAAAAAAAGAAUUAAUGAUUGAUUGACAGGUUGGCGCCCCAAAAUCUGUAUCUCUGCUGCACUGUGUAGCUGUGUGUACGCAGCCUUGGCUGAUAGACUAGACGUAACAUUGUAAAUGUAAAUCUGGGACACUCAAAUCAGUAUGAUAUGUUACGUUUAGUUCGGUUGCAUAAGACAGAAGCUACAAAGUUGCAAUAUGCUGAAAUCGCUCCUCCAUUUCUUGGUUGCUAAAAUUCGAAUAGUUUGCUUAAUUUCAGUUUAUGUGACAAAACAAGCAGUCAUAGUGUAGAGAAUCAUUGUACUAUCUAAACUGCUGUGAAAUAUAUUUUCCAUAACCACAACUAUUGUAUUUUCAGCUGUUUGAAGCUGGUGUACAAAACCAAAGGUAAAAGAUGCAGAAACUAAACUUAAGAAUGGGAUGCAUAGAAAUAGUGCACAUUCUUAGACUUGCUUUCAAUGAGAAUGACAGAUCUAUAUCUCAACAUUUCUAUGUGACUUUGGGUCAGAUCACCCAAAAAAUGACAUAUUGCAGGGUUAAGAUAAAAACAUAUUGUACGAUUUGCUAAUUCAUAACAUAUCAUACGAAUUGUAAUUCGUAACAUAUCAUAUGAAAAUGGAUGAUGGACAUUCUCAAAUUAAUACAUACCAUACGAAACGUAACAUAUGGAAUGUCUAGGCUUUACGUACAGACUAACACAAAAUGCUCUGAGACCAGGUUGCAGCAGGGAGCCUAUGGAAAGCCACUGGGCGGUUAGGUAUGACUCCUUUGGGUUUCCAUAAAAAGCGGAAAAAAGGCUUCUGAUCUCUCAUCGCUGAAGUAGGUUAAGUAAAUAGCGUGAUACGCCUUCACCUGUAAUAUUUAAUUUUGAUUUAAAAGGGCAGGGUCAAGUUUACUUUUUUUACCUUUAUUUAACUAGGCAAGUCAGUUAAGAACAAAUUCUUGUUUACAAUGACGGCUUACCCCAGCCAAACCUGGACGACGCUGAGCCAAUUGUGCGCCACCCUACGGGACUCUCAAUCACGGCCGGAUGUGAUACAGCCUGGAUUCAAACCAGUGAUGCCUCUUGCACUGAGAUGCAAUGCCUUAGACCACUGCGCCACAGUUGAAGCUGCUUCACUCUUAGCUACAGCUGUAAAAAGCGUUAGUGUUAUUAUCCUUAGCCUAUUUAGCUAGCUCAAACCAGCUAAUCUGCCACGAUUGAUAUCAAAAAUUGGCAUUGACAAAGUACCAGAACAAAGGAGAAGGAAAGCGAUGAGCAGCAGCAUCAAACCACUGAGGCCGCCGCCAAGCCCAACAGCUAUGAUGCUCCCGAGCUCCAGCUAGCUCUGUGUGCAGAACCUACCCACCCUUCCACAAGCGUCAACAUAAUGCUAAUGGCUCCAUAGCCGCCUCCACCUCCGAGUGAUCCUGAUGAUCUUGGAACAAAAGAGCCAGCCCAGGUUAGCCUAGAAUCCUAUCCUAGCCGCAGGUUUUCUGUCCAAAAACCUUCAUUUAAUAGCAACUGGUUCAUAGGAAGAAAGUGGCUGGAAUACUCGUUUACUGCAGAUGCUGCAUUUUGUUUCCCAUGUCGAAAGUUCUGUAUUGGAUCCAAUGGUAACGUAGACAAGGCCUUCACCCAAGCUGGGUAUUCUAAGUGGAAGAAUGCUAUUGAUAGGACCAAAGGACAUGCUAGGCACGCAUCAAGCAAAGAGCAUUUGAAAUGCCCUGCACUGUGGAAAUAAAAACUAGUUUGAAGUGCAAUGGGAACUUCGGUGUCAACACUUGCAUGUAUUUGUCAUCGAUUGUGGACAUUAUUGAGUUCCUUUUGGGUCGUUCACAGAUACAUGAACACCCCAAAAGGAGCUAAUUUCCCACUUUGACAAACUGUGUUCAGUCAGCACAGAAGAAGCAUGCUUCACCUGAGGAAAGCUCAAUUAAUCCAACUGGCAUUUGAGGAGAAUCUUACAAGAAGAUUCCGGAGAGAAUGGAGAUUGGAGAAUGGAAUGAUCGAUUACUCAGGAAGUUUUACAGAGCAAUCAAGGCAUCUGC
rnacentral:lncRNA from 1 species